rnacentral:rRNA from 1 species
AGUGAACGCUGGCGGUAGGCCUAACACAUGCAAGUCGAACGGCAGCACAGUAAGAGCUUGCUCUUACGGGUGGCGAGUGGCGGACGGGUGAGGAAUACAUCGGAAUCUACUUUUUCGUGGGGGAUAACGUAGGGAAACUCACGCUAAUACCGCAUACGACCUACGGGUGAAAGCAGGGGAUCUUCGGACCUUGCGCGAUUGAAUGAGCCGAUGUCGGAUUAGCUAGUUGGCGGGGUAAAGGCCCACCAAGGCGACGAUCCGUAGCUGGUCUGAGAGGAUGAUCAGCCACACUGGAACUGAGACACGGUCCAGACUCCUACGGGAGGCAGCAGUGGGGAAUAUUGGACAAUGGGCGCAAGCCUGAUCCAGCCAUACCGCGUGGGUGAAGAAGGCCUUCGGGUUGUAAAGCCCUUUUGUUGGGAAAGAAAAGCAGCAGGUUAAUACCCCGCUGUCCUGACGGUACCCAAAGAAUAAGCACCGGCUAACUUCGUG